rnacentral:rRNA from 1 species
CAAUAGCGUAUAUUAAAGUUGUUGCGGUUAAAACGCUCGUAGUUUGAAAUCUGUUAAGGACGAUCUGUCUGCCCUCUGGGUGUGUAUUUGGUCUAGCCUUGGCAUUUCCUUGAACAAGACAACUGCACUUGAUUGUGUGGUGUUGAUUUCAAGGUGUUUACUUUGAGGAAAUCAGAGUGCUUCCAGCAGGUGUGCGCCUUGAAUACAUUAGCAUGGAAUAUCAUUAUAUGGUUUGGAUUUUUACUUGUUUUUUUUUAAAAUUGAAGCAAUGAUAAAUAGGGAUAAUUGGGGGCACUUGUAUUUAAUUGUCAGAGGUGAAAUUCUUGGAUUUGUGAAAGACAAACUACUGCGAAAGCAUUUGCCAAAAAUGUUUUCAUUG